rnacentral:rRNA from 1 species
UACGUAGGUGGCAAGCGUUGUCCGGAUUUAUUGGGCGUAAAGAGCUCGUAGGCGGCUUGUCGCGUCGACCGUGAAAACUCGCAGCUCAACUGCGAGCCUGCGGUCGAUACGGGCAGGCUAGAGUUCGGUAGGGGAGACUGGAAUUCCUGGUGUAGCGGUGAAAUGCGCAGAUAUCAGGAGGAACACCGAUGGCGAAGGCAGGUCUCUGGGCCGAUACUGACGCUGAGGAGCGAAAGCGUGGGGAGCGAACAGG